GCGCCGGUGUUGGAAUUGGUAGACAAGCAUGCUUGAGGUGCAUGUGCUCACAAGGCGUGAAGGUUCGAGUCCUUUCCGGCGCACCA
rnacentral:tRNA from 1 species